rnacentral:rRNA from 1 species
AGAGGACCAGAGUGGACUUACCGCUGGUGUACCAGUUGUCUUGCCAAAGGCAUCGCUGGGUAGCUAUGUAGGGAAGGGAUAAGCGCUGAAAGCAUCUAAGUGCGAAGCCCCCCUCAAGAUGAGAUUUCCCAUGAUUUUAUAUCAGUAAGAGCCCUGAGAGAUGAUCAGGUAGAUAGGUUAGAAGUGGAAGUGUAGUGAUACAUGAAGCGGACUAAUACUAAUAGCUCGAGGACUUAUCCGAA